rnacentral:lncRNA from 1 species
GGAAGAACCUUCAUAAAUUGGAUUGGUUCAUGGGUCUGACAAUGUGAGCCUUUGAUACAAAUAUACAUUGUACAAAUGUAUACUGCUUUGUGCUUCUUAGCAGUCUGCUCCACAUCAUCGAAGCUUUUCCUCUUGCUUCCAGACAUCCUGGGCUCUGACUGAGCACUGUGCUACUGUGCACUAUCGCACUGUACAGACAGUAGCACAACCGUGACAAUGUCCAGAGACAUGUGAGCUACUUCCGUGAUUUGUUUGCAUCUAUUCCUAAGACAGAUACACCAUCAGAUAACAGCACCUCUGCAGCUGCCGGAAUCUGCCUGGAAUACCAAUUGCAGGCAGUUCUGGUGGGAGCCAUCAUGGUGGAGGAGAGGGAGAAGGAGGGAGCAGCUGUUCUUAUCUUGGUGGACUGAAGCCUGUCAGUCUGAGAAGGCAAAAUCUCACGGUGUGAAUGUAGCACAAUAUGUUUAUCUAGUCUAUCCAGUGGAGUUUUGGAUACUACUUUAGAACUGCAGUGAACAUCUGUAUACAAGUCUUUUGUGUAUAUAUUUUCAGCUAUAUAUAUUUGUUUGUUUUAUGUUUUAAUGAAUGUUGUCUGAAAAAAUAUAUACUGUGCUUCCAAACCAGAAACAAUAAAUCUUUCCAUUUGUUUGGUAUUCUUUCAUUUCAGCAAUGUUUUCUCAUUUUCCAUGGAUGAGUUUUUCAUAUAUGUUGUUAACUUUAUCUUUUAGCAUUUUGUUUUUGAUGUAAUCUUAGGAUGUGCCCUGGUUUUUAAUGUUUCUUGUACCUUGGGUUCUUUGAGUUUCUUGAGUCUGUGGGGUUAUGAGUUUUGUAAAAUCUGG